UGCACCUACCUGUGAUUGUUGUUAAUAAUAUUUAAGCGGUCUGAGUGUACCGCACGGUAGCAGCUGCAUACAAGAUUUUCAGCUGCUGAAAGCUGUUAUAUCAAUCGAUCGUUCCUGAGAGUGUGACAGUAAUAAAGCGCUCGUCAAUGUGCAUUAGUUAGUAGUAAUCACAGAAAAGCGUCAGUGGUCAGUGAUGACUACCGUCAGAAAGAGGCUUUCACUACAUCACCCCUUUAUAGAAGAUUAAUGAGGGCUUAUGCACAUUGUGAUAAAGUUCGAGCCGCCGAUUUUAUAAACAGGUUGUGAAUGCACGAUAAUUGCUAUCUAGUUAUCAUAAACUAUAUUGUAAUUAAAUUAGGUGGACAAUAAGCUUUCAUCGCUCUCAACGGCAAGUUUUUUUUUUUACAUUUGCGCUUUGACUUGUACAAUGUAAAAUGCCAACUUGAAUUAAUGCCGCUUCAUAGGCCUUCUACAGAAAACCCAACUAGGUUUAGCGAAACCCGUACAAAGUAAUGUUUAAUGGCUUGAGCAAAAAAGGCUUUCAAACUUAAAGACGACUGACUGCAAGUCACAGGUUUGCCAGUUGUUUUUUGAGAUCGAGAAUUUACCCGUCAGUCACAGGAGUCUUUUGAUGAUCGUGCGUUCAACCAAUACUUUUCGCUGAACACGUUUACCUACGUAAUAAAUAGCGAAAAGCAAAUAGUAAUAUUGGAUUAUCUUCACAGAUUGGCAUAUAUAUAUUUGACGUACCAAGCAUGUGUUUAAAUUUUAGUUUGUACUGAAUAUCUACAACACUUACUAUACUGAAAACUGGUAUUGGUACUAUGGUUAACUGCCAUACCGUGACGGCCAUCAUUACCAAAAAAGGUUUUUCUGUUCAAAAUAAUCCAACAAAGUUUAGAAAAUCGGUUGAAUAGAAUGAUCCAAAUAUCAGUCUGAGUAGUAUAUUAUUAGCAACGAAUCAAAGAAGUAAUCAUCACAUAGUUUUUUCACUUCGACCUCUUGCAGAUUACUCAUUUUUAAACUUGAAUUUUAGGUGUCGCCGCUGCUUCUUCAAGUUGUCAUACUAUAACAGAAUGCAUAUAAAUGUAUAGAAUUGUAUUUUCUUUCAUGCUUGCAGUAUAGGAAUUACUUUUGUCUCAAAUUACUAUAUGCCGAAUUGUAAUGCCGAAAUGUAACUUUUUCGGCUGUAUUAAAAAAACAUCUGAAAUUAUGAAGUAAGCUAAAUGUGUAUUUCUAUACGAGACCUUUAAUAGGAUUGUGCCGUACUCGAUACGGAGCAGGAUUCAGUCUCGCCUACUACUGGACGCUACGCCACUCAUAUGACCCAGCCAUAGGCUCAAAAUAUAAAUGUCAGGUGUACCCAGCAAAUGUUGUUCUUACAGCAACCCUGGAAUCCCUGAAGAAUCAUACUGACUGUUGGGUGUUUGCAGUCUGCAUGUUUAAAUAAAGGUUUCAAGUGUAAAGUCGGUAGCUGCUUUAGGACUUACAGCAUACGACGCACGUAUGCUUAAAACCUCUAGCUAAUUUUUUGUGGAACAGUAACUUGACAGUACUUGUGACUUUAGAUUCUGGUGCAGGCCGCCGUCGCAAUUUCAAACAUGAAUGACUUCUUUGCAGGCCAGGGAGAAGUCGCAGAACUACAAUUCGGAAACUAUAUCGGACGACUCAGCCGUGAUGACGCGGUCUACAAAUAUUAAAAAUGAAAGAACUGAUCCAAUGUUUGCCGUUGAACAGAAGCUAAAGCAAAUGUGUCUUCGAGGCUCACCUCGAGGUGACAUAGCUAGAUCAAUCUCGUAUUCGGAUCAUUUUAUUAAAUGAUUGUGCGGCUCGACAUUUUCUUCGUUUGCGCAAACGAAAUCCCGCCUGUGGCGAAAGGUACGCUGAUGCUGCCUGCAGAUGAGAGGACCCCGGUUUUUUGUUCAGCAGGUGCCCGCUCGAAGGACGGAGCUCGGCGUCCGUCUACCAGAACCUAUCGCCAUUGUGUAAAAAAACUACGCCUUACCUAGUGACUUUACGCUGAGGUAGUAAAGUCAUAUGAAAUAAUUUAAACCUUAAAAAAGGUAUUUACCUAUAAUCUAGCACCUGUCGGUUACCCUCAUGUUCCCUCUCGACGGCUCUUUGUAAUAGUGUAAUUUUUGGGGCCUUUAAUUUGAUUAGUUUGCUGCAUAUUAUUUAGUGACAUAAAGUCGUUAAAUGUAUUCUAGCUACCAACGACAACCUGAUAGCAACGCAGCAGCAAAGCGACGUUACCGAUGCGGUGACCAUGAUGGGGAUAACGAACAGUAGUAGCAAUGAUGACAUUCGCUGAAAUUGUCGUAAGUACAGUUUCUUUCCGUUAGGGUUGUGAAAAAGGCCGCCCGUGCAUAAUUCGUGGUGGAAGCGGUGUAUCGCGAAACGGGCUUCAACGUGGUACUUCAUUCGCUCCAGCUGCUUCAAGCCAUUAUUUCUCAUCGCUCCAUGUUGUGAAAUGCGCCACUUAUUUUUACAAACUGUUCCAUUCUGUCGAGGCACUCGAAUAAAACCUCGCUUGCCGGGAGUUCACAGGGAAAUCCUGUCUUCGAUCAGUAGUACGGUGUCGGCAAUAGUUGAAAUAGACAUUUCCUGAUCAUGCGAUGAAAGGUUAUAGCACGUUUCAAAAAGAAGGUCUUAAUAGAGUAAUGCAGAAUUCUUAUUAGUAAAGUGCUUUCAAAUUAUAUUUAACCCGUAAGAUGGUGCCUGGGCCAGAUUUAGUUUAAGUAAGCAAAGCAUUGUAGUAGGAGAGAGGCGAUUUUGGACUUCGAUUGCACAUGAUGCGGUCAACGCUUUUUUUCUGUUUUCUACAUCUUUUGUUGAUAUGCGAGGUGGAACUCUUUUACAAGAGUUGAGUUACAAGAAUCUGUUGAUGUGCAAGCAGAAAUAUCUUGCAAGAGAUAGUGUAUUACCAGCCACGAUCCCAAAUUGACUGUUAGUUCGAAUUUGUUAUUGCCGUCAAAGAUCUGAUCAAGGCGUGCUAAACAUAAAAUGUGCUAGGGCUGUAUAUUAUCAAACCAUAAGAGUAAAGCGUAAUUUCAAUUAAGUUUCUUAAGCUUUUUAUACUGUAGGGAAGGUUUUCCACUGUAAGACACGGUAAGACUGAGAACAAAAAAAGGUUUAGAUGUUGAUUCAGAUCUUGAGCCAAGCCUGUUUUUCAUAAGAAGAUAGACAGCUCACCCAGUUUAUCGUUUAUGCUCAUUUUAUUCUCAGCUAGGAUCGUAAUCAGCAGGUCGAGUACGCUUCGUGGUCAGCCCAUGUACGUUAAGAUAGGCAGAACUAGAUCUCUAGGUGGGAUGAUUAAUGUGACCUUAACAGAGCGCGCAGUCUAGCCAAGGGCCAGAACGAGGUCGCUCUUGAGGAAUUCAUUACGGCUUUCGUCCAGGCUCGUUGUUCUGUGGUUAUACAGGCUUUCGAGGACCUGCAGGACCUCCGGUACGGGAACCUCUUCAUAGGCUUACUAACUGCAGAAAACAAUGAUACCAUUCGAGGAGCCGUAUCACUCAUCGCGAACACACAAACGCAGUAAUUUAUUAAUGCAGCUUGUCAAACAUACGGUCAAGCUAUGACGUGUUAACUGUUUGUAUAACUGCCGGCCUGGGACCGCUAUUUGCCGAUUCUCCGAAAUUAUCAAGUAUUUCGUGUUUUGUGUGGCGUAUGUUCUUUGGCAGAUUGUAUUGGACGCUGCGGCUGGAGAGUAAGCACUCUUGUUAGGUGUCUAAAAGUGUCCUGAGCUUUUGGAGCGAAGCAACAAAAACUAUCGAUGCUUUCUAGGGGUAGCGGGUCAGACAGACGACUGUAGAAUCUUGAUGAGAUGGCGCAUAUACUCUCCUAUGUUGAUGAUAUAAGUUAUUGAACGAUUUUGUGUACUUGCCCACGUAGGAUUUCCAUAUCCAGGCGAUGCGGCAAAGCUUGGCUUCUGGAGGAUUUUACUAACACAACAAGAUCUACAAUAAUAGGGAUAUCGCUUGUAUAUAUUUUCUCUUUUCCAGCAACCUAUUUCUUUUGAAAAAGUAAAUUUUACUUCAGGUAAAAUUCGUUUUAUACGCUUAAUCAACUGUCCAACGUGUCGCCCAUGCCGACCCUGACUCCGCGGCGCGAACAUAAGCUGUUAUGGUUAAUGAUAGUUAUUUAUUUUGUCAAGAGUAAAAGUGCCCUUAGCUGUUAUUUUAUUGAAUGCGCUUAACGACGUUCUAUAUAGUUAAUAGUUUUUUAUGCGACUUUUGAGAGAUUCGAGGAAGGGAAAAUGAAAGAUUUUGAGAAGAAGCUUAGAUUUUGUAUAUAAAAUUCCACUUGGGUCGUCGAAAUAAGUUCCAACGGUUAAUAAGAUUUUUGUUACCCACUGCACCUUUGUACAUCUUCUGUGCUUAUUAAGUGUUUUAAUAAAUAUCGGUUGACGCACGCUUUCUAUUUACGGAUUAAAGAAGGGAUAUUUUGAAAGUGACUAAUGAGUGAUUUAGGUAUUAAAUUUAAGAUGUAAUUGCAGUAAAUAAUGGCUGUGCUGGAUAAAUAUGACCAUGCGAAAUGCUUUUGCAGUACCUGUUUGUACUUAAAUACUGUCUUAAAAACGACUAAUAAAAAAGUCCGAAGUUCAGAAGCCCUUUUCCGUAUAUAUGCGGUAAUAGUAACACGUGCCGUUGCAGAUAUAAGAAACAAUCUACUUUUUGAGCAUAAUUUGAAAGUUUCCAUAUCAAAUGGUGGAUAUUUUGCAGAUGCCCGGAAAAGCCUGCAAAGCGUCCAUUCAGUAAAAUCCAACAGAUCACAUCUGCGACGAGAUUUUGUUUCAUUGUUGAUGUCAGGCCAUGGACUGACAGGCUGGUCAUCUGGAGGUGUUACUAACAAACCUUACAAAGAAAAGCUGAUUAAUAACAGCUUCUUUGCAGAUCUGAUUGGACAUUCAAUAGAGGGGUCUGGAGAAGCGAUCUUGCUAGUAAUACUCUGGAAACUCCUGGGCCCCAAAUGGAGUCUCUGCGCUGUACAAAGGUCCGGCUUCACUGGAAAGUAAAACCGGGACAGCCUAUUCAAGCUAAUCGGUUGAACGGAGUGUUCAGCGCUUAUACCACUAGAUGCCAAAGUGAAACGCCUUAGUAACUUAGUUCAGGUAGAACCAGUUCCACCAGUACAUCCACAAAGUCUUAGAAAUAGUACGCCAAAUUUUUAUUUGAGGUAGGCCAUAAGAACAGGGUAAUUUGCUAGGGGGUUUCUAUGUAGGGAGCGGUAUGACAGUAAAGAAAAUGCCGGAUCGUCGCAUUGCACUUUUGGUAGCGGCAUAAAAACAGGACGAGAAGUGAAGGCCAGAGGUUAGUUUUUUAACCCGGCCUAACGCAAUAGUUCUUUUAUAGUGAUUAGUGGAUUAAUUUUCUAUGUAUAUUGCAUUGGUUUAGCAGAAAAUUAUAGUUGCGGCUUUAAUAAAGUAAAAGUUGCAUCAGUGCUUUACGCGUGAAUUGAUAGUCAAUCAAUAUUAACAAUGUAGAUUGAAAAUUUCAGGCUCUUAACAAAGUUAUGAUGUAUUAGCACAACAUAUAUAUACAAAAAUUAAAUCAAUGUGUAAACACGCUGAGAUAUAGAAAAACGUUAAGUUUUAUUUAGGUAGAAAUACUGUGCAAUAGUUGAAUAGCAAAAAUAAAUUUGCGUUUAAGUAGCAUUCGCAUUGAAUACCUAUUGCUUGGACGA
rnacentral:lncRNA from 1 species